rnacentral:lncRNA from 1 species
UUUUUCUUUACAAAUUCCUUUCUUAUGAUCAAAGCAAACAAUAAAUACCUUUAUUCCGAUCAAAGGUGAAGAUAUGUGUAUUCAGAAUAUUUCUAAAUAAUGUUUCAUCUAGAGGAAAACAGUGUUCCGUGCAUUUGUUACAAUGGAUGCCAUCGCCUUUGCAUGCUUCGUUGGUGCUAUAUUCAGCUACUUCUAUAUGGCGACAAAUCCUCGUCCAAUGUGAGCAGGAGGUAACGGGUUCAAGCCUUGGAAACAGCCCCUUGCAAAAAUGUAAAUUCAGGUUGCGUAAAAUAGAUCCUUGUGAUCGGGCCCUUCUCCGGACCUUGCACAUCAUGGGAGCUUAGUGCAUUGGGCUGCCCUUUUUUGUUUAAAGAAAUAUUCUGGACACCACACAAACAUUUGCCUUUGAUAAAAAAAGAAAAGAAAAGGAAAGGUAUUUAAGGAAGCAAGGAAUUUGUUCAACUUUUUUCACAGGGUCAACAACAACUGUUAACGGUAAACUCCAUCUACCAAUGCUA